UAACCUGGUUGAUCCUGCCAGUUAGUCAUAUGCUUGUUUCAAGGACUAAGCCAUGCAUGCCUCAGAAUCACUGCACUGCAGGAAUCUGCGCAUGGCUCAUUACAUCAGACGUAAUCUGCCGCAAAACUGUUGCGGUUUACUGCAAGACUGGAUACCUUGGCGAAACGCCAAGCUAAUACAUGAACAAGGGGGU
rnacentral:rRNA from 1 species